CCACCCGCAUCCCGCCGCCCCCGGACCGCCCGCCCGCGGUCCCGUUCGAGCUACGGCGCCUCGCGCGGGUCAAGCGGGGAGAGACGGGGCGGAGCGCGCCCCUGGCGGAGGGAUCGAGCGGCGCCAGUGAGGCCGUUAGUGCGGCCGUUAUCGGGAGGGGGCGGUGCGGCCCUGUCAGCGUGAUGGGAACACGGGGCGGGGGGUAUAACUGCCGGGAGAGACACAACGGCCGUCAGAGACACAACCGCCGCUCAGGUGGCGGCCGCAGAGCCCCGAGUGCUGUCUCAGGGCGGCGAUGUAGGGUGAAGCACGCUCUAGAUGUGGCCCAGCGUGCAUCUCCACAUCCACAGCCUAAAGAAGAAACAAACCGGAGUUUCUUCAUGUGAAAAAAUCGUCCCCCUUUCUUAACGCGGAAGGGGGCUGUGAGAAAGACUUUUCAGCAGGGUCUGUUGUGACAGGACAAGGGGAGAUUAUUUCAGACUUAGAGGGGAGAUAUGGAUAAGGAUGUAAGGAAGCAGUUUUGUACAGUAAGGGUGGUGAGGCUCUGGAGCAGGUUGCCCAGAGAGAUGGUGGAUGCACCAUCCUUGGAGACGUCCUAGGUCAGGCUGGACCAGGCUCUGAGCACCUGUGGGUGUCCCUGUUCAUUGCCGGCAGGUUAGACUACGUGACCUUUAAUGGUCUUAUCCAACUCAAACAAUUGUACGGGUCCAUGAUGUUAAUUUGCCCUCAGCAUUGACCACAAUGGGCAGCGCCCUGCCAGCGUCAUGGUGCGUGGCUCUGUGACCCUGCAUGGCCUGUAUUUCAGGAAAAGGUUGUUUGCAUUCGCAGCACGCACCCUUUGGUGCUAAGUUCUGUGCAGACUGGGAUGAGCUGUGGUGAGUGGGACCACUCAUACUUUCCAUGGGGUUAACAACACGCACCAGUCUGUGUGCCUCUGGGACCUGACAUUGCACAACUGUGGGGAAAGCACUUAAUAGUUCUUAAAUUUCUGCCGUUCAGCAGGAAAAACAACAAAGUCACCACAUCAGUGAGAAGCACGCAAACAUUAGGGAAUGAUCUGGGAGAUGUCUUUGCAAACAAGUGUGAGAAACACUCCAGUCAGUAAGUUUGACUCCAGCAAGAACCUAAGUGAAGCAGCAUGUUUGAUUUGCAAUAGCAGUGGCAGAGGCACACUCUCUUAUGGCAAGACAGAAAACACGCACCUUGUUGGUAAAAUACACACUGUGAUAUACCCAUCCUCUCAACACAGUUCUCUCUCCUAAUUACUCAUCAGUUGAGUAUCCCAGGCUCACAAUCCUCUUGAUGCAGUUACUAAGGAAUAUUUCCAUAUUAGGUCUGUUACCAACCUGUUGUUUUUAAGUAUAUCUUGUAUUUCUUUAUGGAAGUAGGAAGGCAAUAUUUCAUAAGAUUAUUGCACUUUUUCUAGGGAUUAAAGUGAUCAUGAUUGUUCCAUCCUGUGCUAAGCCUACCCUGCAGAUUUGCCUUAUCUUGGAUUAGUCAGAACACUCCAGGUUCUGCUUUUAAGCAAAAUAUUUGCCCUAUCUUGUGCUAGUAUCUGCCUCAGCAACUUAUUGUGAAAAGCAACCUAUGUAGCCAUUUUAUAAGAAGGUUAUAAGUUUAGUAAGGGCCUAUACUUUGAUAUUAGAAGCUUCUACUGCAAAAACACAACCUAACUCUUGCACAAGGAAUGGCAGAAAUGUCUACCUGGGAGAUGCUGUUUAACUGCAGCCAGUGUUGUUCAGGUGCUGGAUGCUGAGUGCAGCAUAAUAUAUGUGUGAUUACAGUUCUUUGUGACUGUGUGACUUGAAGAGAAGAAAACUCGUACUUUAUUUUUGCCUGUUAUUUGUGUAGGGCCCACUGCAGCGGUCAGCACCCCGACUGAGAUCAGGGAAUGAUAAUUGGAGGCAGCAGGAUUUUCAGCUUCACUCUGAGGUCACGAGUUCUUCCCUUCCAGAAAAACCAAUCUACCAUAAAUAAAUGAUAUCAUUUGUCUUUGGCAUUUACUCUUCAGUGAUGUGCUCUUAAAGCAGUCUUGUGGGAGGUGCCACAGAUAAUGAGAGCAGAUGCCUCGUAAAUGAAAUGCCCUAUUUUUAAGCAUUAGGUAAUUAACUAUCUGAAAACGUUUUCCUUUGUUGCAGAAAUCCUCUGUGCUUUCCUAGGAAAUAGCAUCUUGCAAAUAAUCCCAUAGGCCUCCUGUAGGGGCUCAGAGCAAAAGGAAUGGUUUCAAAGUGGCUUUAAUCAGAAUGAUUUUCCUAAUUAAAAAAAAAAAAAAGUCUUGAUAAAAAGGCAUGUGAAAGAAGAUAUGAAGCAGCAGAGCACCUCUUGGUGUGAUGUUAAAGUGUUUCCUUGAACUUGUUCCCCUCACAGACCAAGUUCUCCCCUGACCCGUGGGCUGGCAGGGAACACAAGGCGACCAUAGUUGACCUCACUGUGUGAUGAGGAUGCUCAUGGUCCCCUCAGUGGAUGUGCAGAGAGUUGCACAGGCAUGGUGUAACAGGGUUAGUGAGGGGCUCCAUGACUCCACACUACACUGCAACCACAACCCGGGGAGGGGGAGGGAAGAAGAGGAGGAGAUGAGUUUUAGUAAACUCCAGAAUCAAAGCAGGUAUUUAAGAACAUAGGACAGUAAGGAACAAAGGAGAAAAAUACUGUUUUUUCUGUAUAGAGGAUAUUUUACAUAUGAUUUUGCUCCAAGUAGGAGAAUGACUGAAAGCUUAACAAUCAUUUAAUUAUUAACCUUUUCCUCAGCUAUGAGUUUGCCCUGGCAAAAUGCACCAAGGAUCCUUCACAAGACAUCCAAAGGUCUCCUAAGCUCCACAUACAGCAUCUCAGCUCCCCAGCCGAGUCUGUGCAUCUGUCCUGUGCUGACUUACCUGGUGCCUGAGGUGUACAUACAUCUAGUAUGCAGCCAAGUUUGAAGCUCACUGAGAGGGCAGUUCUGAAUGCCAAAAAAAAAAGGGAUGCUGCCAUUUUCCAUGUCUACCCUGAGGCUCCGGGACACCUGAACACCACGAGGGAAUGCACUCCCUGCAUCUUCCAGCCAGCAGCUUCCCAGAAGUUCUAUCUUUGGGGCCAGCUGAAGCAGCACGCCUCUGCCACAGGAACCCAGGAAGGAAGUGUGCAAAUUCUUCUGGUGCCAACCUGCAUGCUCCCCAGCGCCUGCUGCCCCACCGAUCAGGGAAUUGAGGUGACAGCGGUGACAGCACUUUGUAGCAGGCAUUUCAUCUACUUCCUCUAAGACGUAUCUCCUCUGACACUUCACCUGGGGACACACCUUCAGAUUUGUUUCCAUAAAGACAGCUGUGCUGUACGACGUCUGUAAAGCAAAGAAGCAUCCAUACGUUUCAGAACUUUUCUGCAACUUUGAUAAGAAGAAAUCAGCUUGGAUAUGCAGUAGCUCCUGUUCAACAGGUAUCACUGGGAGACAGAAGACGCCCACAUCUCUGGAGAAAUACCUCACACCUUUCCUAAUAAGUACAAUGAUCAGCGUUAUUUGUAUGCUGUAUGAUAUUUCUUGGACUGACGCAUGCUGUUAAAUAACAUCUAAAAGAAAACUCACAUACAGUUCAGCACUGUUUAACAUUGCAAUUUUCAUAUCAAAACCAGAUUUUUAUGAAUUUCCUGUAGUUGCUCACAGUUUGUUGGUCUGAGGUAAAAUAACUACACUGACCUCCUUCCAAUUCAGAGUUUAAGUUCUAACGUGAACGAUAUCCUUGUGGGCCCCUUCCAACUCAGGAUAUUCUGUGAUUCCAUGAGUCUUAAAACCCCACAGUGAGCAGCAGCUCAGAGUACACCGCAAUUCUCUUUUACAACAGAGCUGCUUCCUCCAUCUAGACUUUACAAGCACUAGUUUUCAAAAAAGCAGGAACUGGGCAGUUAUUUGCAAAAUAGAGCAAAGAGUCAAGAGGUUUUGGUAAGGAUGUUAUCCAGUACAUAAUUGUGCAUACUUGUGAAGCACUGAACAGAAAAGCUGUUUUGGGAAGAAAUCAGUCACAGAAUUAUUUUUUUUUCCCCACUAAAACAUACCCAACACACAGGAACUCAGGCCCAUGGCUUGCAACACAGAGAUUAUUCUACGUUUCCUUUAGGCAUUAAGGAAAACAAAAGCAUUUCUUAUCAGUGUGAGUGUAUCACUAAGUCGGAGCUUGACAUGCCUGGGUCUACCUAAAUUUACAUGAACACUGAUAACUUACCCAGAUCCCCCCCCAAGACUAGAUCUACUCUGUUCCACAACUGAAAGUUUUUUCUUUUAUUAUUCGAUGUGGUUUGUGCCUAAAAAACAUCCUCACC